GUGAGUGUAGCUCAAGGGUUAGAGCACCGGACUGUGGAUCCGGUGGUUGGGGGUUCGAAUCCCCUCACUCACCCCA
rnacentral:tRNA from 3 species